CACCACAAAAUGCAAGUCUAGUUCAAAUCUGUUGCAAAUAUCCAACCGAACUAACGGAUAGCAGAACAGGUUCAAUACUAAUAGCAAAGCAGGUUCAACGUAUGAGAACAGACACCAUAAAAUAAUCUUAGCAGUUUACGGUGACUCCAACCCAUUCUUAUUAUAAUGCAAGCUAAGCAAACCACCACCACUCAAAUGAAUUUAAACAGGAUACAAUUAACAUCAUAGAACACUCUCAAAGCAAGCUUCUAGACAUAUAAAUCAUAAACUUCAUUUUCCCACCGGACCUUAGUUCGACACAACCACCUUAUUUUAAUUCAAGAAAAGCAUCACGUUAUACCAGGCAAAGACUUCACGUUACUUAACACGUUUGAAAAUACAUCUUUUGACUUGCAAAUAAGAAAUCAAUUUGUGCUAAUAUAAGUAUAUUUAGACCUUUUACCACAGAACUUUGACACAGAGUCAGCUAGAUCGGACACAACAACCUGAAAAUAUUAAAUUGAGAUUAAAGCUUGAGACCUUGGCACCAAAACCAGCUAUAACGACACAUCGUUAGCCCGAAAUCAUUAAGCAUACCCAAAGUUCGAAUCAUUACUGUGUAA
rnacentral:lncRNA from 1 species